rfam:Toxocara canis scaffold391, whole genome shotgun sequence.
CGGGCAGUAGUUCGGUAGUAGAGCUCCCGCUUCGUAUGCGGGAAGACCUGAGUUCGAUUCCCGGCUGCUUCC